CUUAAUUAUUUAUAUAAUAAAAGCGUCAGACAUUUCUAAGCUAUAUUAUGUAAUAAAAAAGUUGUAAAAUAUGUGAUUUAAAAGAUACAGUCAGAUGGGAGUAAGAGAAUUUUCAAGGCUAAAUUCUUUUGGAUACAGAAAGUUAAGCACUAAAGAACAAAUAAUAAGCUAAUAAAGAAUUCUUAAGUUGGUUAUCAGCCAUGUUGUUUUCUUUCUAUUCAAACAACAAGAGAACUGACAAACGUGCAAAAUUUUGAAAAAUUGGAAACUCUCAAUUAAUAUUUUAUUAUAAAUUGUAAUGAAAUGGAGAAAAACAGAAUAUAAAUCGACGACAUUAUAAUUGCAGGAAGUGUGCAAUUUGUGAUGUCGAGUAUGGGCAAAAAAAGCAAAAGGGGAUGAAGAUUUAGUUCAUUAACCAAUUGAAAAACUAAGUGGGCUAAAGUUUAUAUGACGCUCUUAUUUUACGCCUGAAAGUUUGAAUGAAAAACAAAACCGAUUGCUUAAAACUGCAGUAUCAACUGAGAGGCUUACCAGACCACUUCUUUCUGAUGACUCUUUAGAGAUUGAGCGUUUGGCGAUUAAAUAAAACAACUGCUCGACUGUGAGGAAUAUGUGGAAGAUAUGAUUUAUUUAAAAGUUACAUGAUAUAUAUACAAAAUCCUUAAAACUAGUUACCCAAUUGCAACUGUUACUUAAAAAAUAUUUACAAGUUCAGAAAAUACACACCAAUACUAAAGCUUACAUUUUAACCAAUAGUAAAACGUUUCAUUCAAUAAGAAUUGAGAAUAAUAUUAUGUGAUCUAUCUCGCUCUUAAACGAAUGCUAUCGCAGUAAGCCGGCCAGCGAAUGUGGUUUGUGUAAACUCGCGUCGAACUUCGAUCAUACGAUAUCAAUGAGCAUUCAGCACCUACUCUGUCGCUCAUUGAUUAAAAUUGCAUGAAUAGCGAUCGACCCCCGAGUCCCGACGCGUCAUUCGAGAACGCUCGGCCUUGCUGUGCGGUUGUGUAACGCGGAGCAUAUGACUGAUCACGUACAGCUACAACGCUUUCCAUGAAUUUCCUCUACAUGUUAAGUCGCUUUAUGAUGUCAGAAAAAACAAGCCAGUUGUACGGGCAGAAAGUAGCAACUUCAAUUCCAGCUAUUUUGAAGUUUGUUUAGCAAACUCUUUAUUAGAAGAUAUUUAUUUAUUUAUUUUGUUUAUUAUUAUAUAAAAUUAUAAUUUGUAGUAAUGUGGC